CAGUCGCCACGGUAAUACGGAGGGCGCGAGCGUUACCCGGAUUUACUGGGCGUAAAGGGCGUGUAGGCGGCCUGGGGCGUCCCAUGUGAAAGGCCACGGCUCAACCGUGGAGGAGCGUGGGAUACGCUCAGGCUAGAGGGUGGGAGAGGGUGGUGGAAUUCCCGGAGUAGCGGUGAAAUGCGCAGAUACCGGGAGGAACGCCGAUGGCGAAGGCAGCCACCUGGUCCACUUCUGACGCUGAGGCGCGAAAGCGUGGGGAGCAAACCGGAUUAGAUACCCGCGUAGUCCCUGUCUCUUAUAA
rnacentral:rRNA from 1 species